AAUUAUAAAUAAAUAUAAACUUGAUUUAAAAUAUUGAAAAUGCGGAAGGGCUGAUUGCGCAAAUAACCCUUCCGCAUUUAAAAACACGCGGAUCCUGUUGGGGCGGGUCGGGUCGACCCGACCCACCCCUGAAACGACGUCGUUUUAUGUAUAAAAGGGGGGGUCCAAAACACCGUUUUGGACCCCUAUAUAAGUCAAAAAAAUUUUUAAAAUCUCAUUUGGCAUCAGCAGAGAAAAAAAAAAGAAGAAAGAGAAGGGAGAAAAGAGAGAAGGGAGGAAGGAGGGGGAGAGCUCCGGCCACGGGUCCGACCGCCGGAUGGUCGCCGGAGGUCCGCCGGCGCCAGCGUCGCGGUGGCCGAAAAAGGGUAUGGCCGGUGCUGUGGAGUGCGUGGUGGCCGACAUGGUGGCAUGGGGAGCUGGGGCGCCAGGGCAUGGGCUAGUGUCAGAGGGGCGUGCGGCGCAAGUGGGAUUAGGGUUUCUGAGUGCUGAGUGGGAUUAUUGGGCUGGGGUAGUUGGGCUUCGGGUUUAGUUGUUUAGGCUUAAUGGGCUUAUUGGGUUAGAGGUUUUAAGGGGUUUAGUGUUUUGUAAAUGGGGUUUUAAAUUGUAAAUGGGAUUGGGCUGAAAUUGGCCUAGUACAAUGUUUAAUAAUAAGUUAAUUUAUAAAAUAUAUUUUCAUUGGACACAA